CACUUUAAUUUGGUGGAUAACGAGAUAUCAAAGAAAUUAGCAAGGUUGUUUGAUGGUAUAGAGCAGAAUGAGUUAGAAUCAUACCCAUUAACACACGCACGCUAACAUUCCUAAGUUGUUCCAGCUCAGUU